ACAAACUUGGUCAUUUAGAGGAAGUAAAAGUCGUAACAAGGUUUCCGUAGGUGAACCUGCGGAAGGAUCAUUAUCGAGUAUUAGGAGCCCCUCGUGGGCUCUAACUCACUAUCCGAUGACCUAAUAUCCCUCGUUGCCUCGGCGAGCCGCUCUGCUUUCUAAGCCAGCCAGGAGGAUUUUAUGCAUGGUGUAAACCGUGCAAGAUCCUGCUGUGUGCUCGCCGGUGGGCCAACUUUUAAACUCUAGGCCGUAUAAGCCUUUGAAAACAUUCGUCUUAAGCACGCUUCACGGCGUACAAAACAAUACAAAAUUGAAAACUUUCAACAACGGAUCUCUUGGUUCUGGCAUCGAUGAAGAACGCAGC
rnacentral:misc_RNA from 1 species